GCUUUCGUGGUGUAAUGGUUAGCACAUUCGACGCGUAUUCGACAGGUCUAAGUUCGAGUCCUGGUGAGAGCA
rnacentral:tRNA from 1 species